UCGGGAAUAUUGCGCAAUGGAGGAAACUCUGACGCAGUGACGCCGCGUGCAGGAAGAAGGUUUUCGGAUUGUAAACUGCUUUAGACAGGGAAGAAAAAAGACAGUACCUGUAGAAUAAGCUCCGGCUAACUACGUGCCAGCAGCCGCGGUAAUACGUAGGGAGCAAGCGUUAUCCGGAUUUAUUGGGUGUAAAGGGUGCGUAGACGGGAAAGCAAGUUAGCUGUGAAAUCCCUCGGCUCAACCGAGGAACUGCAACUAAAACUACUAUUCUUGAGUGCUGGAGGGGAAAGUGGAAUUCCUAGUGUAGCGGUGAAAUGCGUAGAUAUUAGGAGGAACACCAGUGGCGAAGGCGACUUUCUGGACAGUAACUGACGUUGAGGCACGAAAGUGUGGGGAGCAAACAGGAUUAGAUACCCUGGUAGUCCACACCGUAAACGAUGGAUACUAGGUGUAGGGAAUAUUAAGUUCUCUGUGCCGUCGCAAACGCAGUAAGUAUCCCACCUGGGGAGUACGACCGCAAGGUUGAAACUCAAAGGAAUUGACGGGGGCCCGCACAAGCAGUGGAGUAUGUGGUUUAAUUCGACGCAACGCGAAGAACCUUACCAGGGCUUGACAUAUAAGUGAAUAAUUAAGAGAUUAGUUAGCUCUUCGGAGCACUUAUACAGGUGGUGCAUGGUUGUCGUCAGCUCGUGUCGUGAGAUGUUGGGUUAAGUCCCGCAACGAGCGCAACCCCUGUUUCCAGUUGCCAGCACAUAAAGGUGGGGACUCUGGAGAGACUGCCGGUGAUAAAUCGGAGGAAGGUGGGGACGACGUCAAAUCAUCAUGCCCUUUAUGUCCUGGGCUACACACGUACUACAAUGGCUAUAACAAAGAGAAGCGAGACCGCGAGGUGGAGCAAAACUCAAAAAAGUAGUCUCAGUUCGGAUUGUAGACUGAAAUUCGUCUACAUGAAGCUGGAAUUGCUAGUAAUGGCAGGUCAGCAUACUGCCGUGAAUACGUUCCC
rnacentral:rRNA from 2 species